CAGUCGCCACGGGAAUACGAAGGGGGCUAGCGUUGUUCGGAUUUACUGGGCGUAAAGGGCGCGUAGGCGGACUGAUAAGUCAGGGGUGAAAUCCCAAGGCUCAACCUUGGAACUGCCUUUGAUACUGUUUGUCUUGAGUUCGAGAGAGGUAAGUGGAACUGCGAGUGUAGAGGUGAAAUUCGCAGAUAUUCGCAAGAACACCAGUGGCGAAGGCGGCUUACUGGCUCGAAACUGACGCUGAGGCGCGAAAGCGUGGGGAGCAAACAGGAUUAGAUACCCGUGUAGUCCCUGUCUCUUAUAC
rnacentral:rRNA from 1 species